CUCGUGCUGCGGAGUGCGUGAAUGCGGCUUUAUCUCGGUGGUCGAUACUUUCUCGCAUUGGGAGCUGUCCCUGACUUAAUCUACCAGUUCGGCUGUAGGGUUUUGAUAUUAUGGCACCCACCUAUACUUUAGGGCCCGCGAAGAUACUAUACGCACACGGCUUUGUGGCACACUU
rnacentral:other from 1 species